rnacentral:rRNA from 1 species
GUCGUCAGCUCGUGUCGUGAGAUGUUGGUUAAGUCCCGCAACGAGCGCAACCCCUAUUGUUAGUUGCCAUCAUUCAGUUGGGCACUCUAGCGAGACUGCCGGUAAUAAACCGGAGGAAGGUGGGAUGACGUCAAAUCAUCAUGCCCCCUUAUGACCUGGGCUACACACGUGCUACAAUGGUUGGUACAACGAGUUGCGAGUCGGUGACGGCGAGCUAAUCUCUUAAAGCCAAUCUCAGUUCGGAUUGUAGGCUGCAACUCGCCUACAUGAAGUCGGAAUCGCUAGUAAUCGCGGAUCAGCACGCCGCGGCGAAUACGUUCCCGGGCCUU